rnacentral:rRNA from 1 species
GAUGAACGCUGGCGGCGUGCCUAAUACAUGCAAGUCGAGCGAACAGACGAGGUGCUUGCUCCUCUUACGUUAGCGGCGGACGGGUGAGUAACACGUGGAUAACCUACCUAUAAGACUGGGAUAACUUCUGGAAACCGGUGCUAAUACCGGAUAAUAUAUUUAACCGCAUGGUUCAAUAGUGAAAGACGGUUUUGCUUUCCCUUAUAGAUGUAUCCGCGCCUCAUUAGCUAGUUGUUAAGGUAACGGCUUACCAAGGCAACGAUGCGUAGCCGACCUGAGAGGGUGAUCGGCAACACUGGAACUGAGACACGGUCCAGACUCCUACGGGAGGCAGCAGUAGGGAAUCUUCCGAAAUGGGCGAAAGCCUGACGGAGAAACGCCGCGUGAGUGAUGAAGGUCUUCGGAUCGUAAAACUCUGUUAUUAGGGAAGAACAAAUGUGUAAGUAAAUAUGCACGUCUUGACGGUACCUAAUCAGAAAGCCACGGCUAACUACGUG